rnacentral:tRNA from 1 species
GCCCCGGUAGCUCAGCUGGACAGAGCAACGGCCUUCUAAGCCGUCGGUCGCAGGUUCGAAUCCUGCCCGGGGUGCCA